ACACAUGCCUUUGAUGGUCUUAACCACCUAAUUAGAAGUUUCUAUACAAUAUAUCCUACUGUUCCAUUUUAAUGGCUACUUUUGGAUUUUACUCACCUUAAGUGUCUGUUCACUUUUUUUGUUCUUUUGUGACCCAAACACAUCUUGUGUCCGCAAGAAAUUGAUUUCUCUGAAAAACUCAAUUUUCUAAAAACCUUGUGAAGAUGAUAAAACUACACCUCAUGUAGAUUUUCUUUUUAAAUAAAAAAAACAUAUUCUAAUUGACACUAUAUAUAAAAUUCAGGUUGCUUUAGUUAUAAUACCUGCCAAAUAACAUAGGUAUCUUUUGCAGUAAAGAGAAAUGCUAGGUAAUGCUCUCUCGCACUCAGGUUAUUAUGACAUGUUUUGAAGCUGUGUAUGAACCCCCAUCCUGAGAGGACCAGCAACCUAACUGCACAAAAGUAUCUCCUGAAAUAGCUUAUUUCAUAAAACUCUUAUCUUUUAUUUUAUGUCUUGGUAACUCAAGGGAGGCUGCCUUAAUUGUUUAUAUAAAAGAAAAAGUGAUAGGUUGUAAAGUGCUUUCGUGAAAUUGUAGACAUUAGACAAAAAAAAUCAGGGUGUGAACAAACCUGCAUGUUUUGAACCUCUACCCUAUCUCAGGCGCUCUUCUAGAAUAAAUACUUGGGACAUGUCAAAUCUAACAGCUCUGGGCCUGGACACACUUGAAUUUAGAUCUCAGUUCUAUCACUUUCAAAUUGUGUGGUCUGAGGCACAAAAUGCCACCUCCUUGUAGCUCCAGUUUUGGUAGUCAGAAUAACCUUAUAGGGUUGUUCUGAAGAGUUAAAGAGGGAUAUAAAUCAUUUAUCACUGGAGGACACAGGUUAGAGCCACGUAAGAAAUGGUAGCCAUUAUUACCUUUCUCAAUCCUCACAAUAACCAGGAAGAUAGUAGUCAUUAUCACCCUUUGUUGAUUAGGAGGAGACUGAAGUUCAGGUAGGCUAAGUAAAGCUCCCAAGCUUGCAUCAGUGGUGAGACAGCUGGAACGCAUUUUGAAUCCAAAGUAAAUUCUUUUUGUGUGCUGUUUAGAAACAUUCCAUAUUCAGGGAGCACCCUCCUUUAGAUUACUCAAAUUUGUGAUUAUGCCCUAUUCAGAUGGAAAAGCGGGUGAAACAAACAAGGGUAGGUUCGGUGCUUUCUGUAGUAAGUCCAUAAACUGGAUAUUGAUCACCCUGCAACUGUCCCGUAAAGUACUGCAACUAUGUUUUAAAGGGCUGAUCUCCAUAUCUUGUCUCUGAACACCUUGUGGACAUUUAUCUUUGUAUCCCUGACACCUAACUCAGUGUUUGGUAUUUAGUAGGUGCUCAAGAAAUGUCCACAGGAUAAAUGAAAUUACUGUGACGGCAUGGGUAUACAGGCCAGGGAAGGUGCUUGUAACAUAGAAGGCUAUCUAUCAUAAAUCUUGCCUUCUCUCCUUCCAGUUGAGGUCCCCCUGCUGAAGAGAAGACUUCUUUCAUUGGCCCCGAUGGAAACCCUGCCUGCUCAUUCUGAUGCUGUUGUGAUCUCUUAUUUUCCAUACAAGUGGAAAUAAAGGGCCUGCAGUAAUUUAUUGAAUAUCUACUACUGUGAAAAUGAAUAAAGGAAUCCUCAUUCAAAAUGGAGUGAGGAAUCCAUGAAGGGAGAGUUCUCAUACACCACGACUCAUCACCGUCUGCAUACCCAGCAGAAAGAAGAAAGAUUUCCUCUCAGGCUGGCAACAGCAAGCUGCCCAGACCUGCAGUCAAUGAGAAGCUGCCACCACUUCAAACUCUUUUCCCCCAUAAAAAGAUGCUCUCCCACUCUGUUAUCUAGACUUGGUUAUUGUUCACCACAGUUUGCAUGUCCCAAACUGCAAUUCCUUUACAAUUCCCAAAUAAACUCAUUUGCUGCUCA